GAACAUAAUAAAAGUGAUGGGAUUAGGGUAAAUUUGAAACAAGUAGUUUUUUAAAAACCCUAAUGUGAAGUCCCGUCCAUUUUUGGCGCAGUCGUACGGAACACUCUACGUGCAGUGCUAGUUUUUGGAAGACAAUCUAGUGACAAAACCCGAUCCGUGGUAAUUGGACAGUAGUGCGAAAACCGAAAAUUAGUGUCGAAUUGACGACAUCGGACGUGCCGGUAACCAAGGACUAAAAGUGUAACUGACUUGCGCAGGAUUCAGCAUUAAGUAGACGCUUAGCCCAACCCGUGGCGAAGCAAGAAACUAGUGACUAUCUCCAGUGAUCAUCAGGAACCAGGCUCUUGGAAACCAUCCCUCAACCCGUAGGUGAUUUGCGCCGCCCGACACGAAAACUGCAUCGGUGGGUUUCAACCCUUUAAGAGUGUCGAACCCUCGAAGAUGACACACAAACACCCGAUACUUUUUUGUCUUACAAUUAUGAUGUUUUUCAAUCCUAUUUACUCUGCUUACUUGGAAAUCCUUGAACUUAAUGAAAAUCCCGGUAUAGUUGCGUUCAAGACUAAUUCA